rnacentral:misc_RNA from 1 species
UCUGCCAGAGCUUCUGAUUCUUGUUUUGACAGAUUAGAAGUCUCAUCAGCAAUGCAAUCAUCACAUUGUUUGAUCAAAUUAGCAAAUCUAGUAUCUCCAGGGGCCAAAGAAGCACCACUCUCAAGGGCUGACUUGGCAGUUUCAUACUCCUCAAGCUUUAUGCAAGCAGAGCCUUUCCGCAAAUAAGCUUUGGCCAUCGAAGGAUCCAACCCAAUCGCUUUGUUUGCAUCAGCAACGGCCUCAGUAAGAUUGCAGAGUUUGAUAUUGGCCUGAGCGCGAUCAGCGUAGAGCUCAGCGCUGUUAGGGUUUAGGGCGAUGGCCUGAUUUAAGAGUUCGGCGGCCAGCUCGAAGUGGUCGUCGACGAACGCUUCUUUGGCCUUCCUUUCGAGAUCAGACGCCAUUGGAGACGCAGAGAGGAAAGAACUCUCUGGAAACAA